CAGGAAAUACUCAAGUUAUAGAAGGAUUGCGUUCAAAAGUUUGUCAUAAUUCAAAUUCAUCAUACUCACAAGUCAGAACAUGAUUUUUCCAUAGGCACAAUGCUACAAAUGGUGGUCAGGCUCUUUCUCAUUUCCCAACCACCAAAACUUAGAAUAUUCAAUAUAUUUUUAAAAUCCAGUAGUAAAUGCUAUUUAUUCUUUGAAAUGAGAAAAAUAUAUAUUUCAUGCCUACCAGCACUCUAUGCAAAAAAAAUAAAGAAAAUACUUUAUAAAAACAAAGUUGGAAUACAAGGAAUCCAUG
rnacentral:lncRNA from 1 species